UCAUGCAUAAGCUUUGGAAAAGAAACUAGCAACCUAACAAUGCAGAGAAACGAUCUAGGCCUAGCAGGUCGAGCUAAGCAACAGAGACUAACAGAAACAAGAUUUAAACUAUCAAUAGAGAUGAAGGGUCCUGAGGAAUGGGGUAAUCGAUUAUGGCAGUCUCCUUAGCCUACCUAGGUGGUUAACAAACUCAAUCAAGCUAUCCCUAGACAAUAGAUUCGAAUACAAAUCAAUCCACUCUCGUGACA
rnacentral:lncRNA from 1 species